UACGAAGGGAGCUAGCGUUGUUCGGAAUCACUGGGCGUAAAGCGCGCGUAGGCGGACCUGCAAGUCGGGGUGAAGGCCCGAGGCUCAACCUCGGAACUGCCUUCGAUACUGCGGGUCUCGAGUCCGGGAGAGGUGAGUGGAAUUCCUAGUGUAGAGGUGAAAUUCGUAGAUAUUAGGAAGAACACCAGUGGCGAAGGCGGCUCACUGGCCCGGUACUGACGCUGAGGCGACGAAAGCGUGGGGAGCAAACAGG
rnacentral:rRNA from 1 species